GAAACUGGGAGCCUAGAGUUCAGAAGGGGCAGAUGGAAUUAGUGGUGUAGGGGUAAAAUCCGUAGAUAUCACUAGGAAUAUCAAAAGCGAAGGCGAUCUGCUGGGAUGAUACUGACGCUGAGGCACGAAAGCGUGGGAGCAAACAGGAUUAGAUACCCUGGUAGUCCACGCCCUAAACGAUGAAUGCUAGUCGUCGGGAAGCUCGUCUUUUCGGUGACGCACUUAACAGAUUAAGCAUUUCGCCUGGGGAGUACGGUCGCAAGAUUAAAACUCAAAGGAAUAGACGGGGACCCGCACAAGUGGUGGAGCAUGUGGUUUAAUUCGAAGAUACACGAAGAACCUUACCUGGCCUUGACAUCCCAAGAACUUUCCAGAGAUGGAUUGGUGCUAGCUUGCUAGAACUUGGUGACAGGUGCUGCACGGCUGUCGUCAGCUCGUGUCGUGAGAUGUUGGGUUAAGUCCCGCAACGAGCGCAACCCUCGUCCUUAGUUGCUAACAGUUCGGCUGAGCACUCUAAGGAGACUGCCUCCGUAAGGAGGAGGAAGGUGAGGACGACGUCAAGUCAUCAUGGCCCUUACGGCCAAGGCUACACACGUGCUACAAUGGGGCGUACAGAGAGCUGCAAUACCGCGAGGUGGAGCCAAUCUCUUAAAGCGUCUCUCAGUUCGGAUUGUUCUCUGCAACUCGAGAACAUGAAGCUGGAAUCACUAGUAAUCGCAGAUCAGCUAUGCUGCGGUGAAUACGUUCCCGGGUCUUGUACUCACCGCCCGUCACACCAUGGGAGUUGAUUUCACCCGAAAUCGGGAUGCCAAACUGGCUACCGCUUACGGUGGAAUUAGCGACUGGGGUGAAGUCGUAACAAGGUAACC
rnacentral:rRNA from 1 species